rnacentral:rRNA from 1 species
CAAUAGCGUAUAUUAAAGUUGUUGCGGUUAAAAAGCUCGUAGUUGGAUUUCUGCUGAGAACGACCGGUCCGCCCUCUGGGUGUGUAUCUGGCUCUUUCUUGGCAUCUUCUUGGUGAACGUUGCUGCACUUGACUGUGUGGAGCGCUACCCAGGACUUUUACUUUGAGGAAAUUAGAGUGUUUCAAGCAGGCAUACGCCUUGAAUACAUUAGCAUGGAAUAAUAAGAUAGGACCUCGGUUCUAUUUUGUUGGUUUCUAGAGCUGAGGUAAUGAUUAAUAGGGAUAGUUGGGGGCAUUCGUAUUUAACUGUCAAAGGUGAAAUUCUUGGAUUUGUUAAAGACGGACUACUGCGAANGNAUUUGCNAAGGAUGUUUNCAUUG